UUGAACGAUGAUACCAUCAAUGGGCUGUCUAAGCUGCAAACUAUGACCAUUGAUGAGUACAUAAAUUACAUCAAUCCUCCAGCGGUGCAUAAAUUUCAGAACGGCAAUGGAGAAAAAGUACUUUGUGUAAAAUAUGAAGACCAGAUAUCCCUUCAAUCGGGAAACACUAGCAAAGGUUCAAGGGAUAAUUUUGCGUACAAAAAUUCGUCGGCAGAAGAGUGCCCAGAGGGAA